rnacentral:rRNA from 1 species
UUGGAGGGCAAGUCUGGUGCCAGCGGCCGCGGUAAUUCCAGCUCCAAUAGCGUAUAUUAAAGUUGUUGCAGUUAAAAAGCUCGUAGUUGAAUUUCGGGAUCAGUUGGUCGGUCGUGCCUCGGUACGUACUGGUCAAAUUGAUUCCUACCUUCUGACGAACCACGAUGUCAUUAAUUUGGUGUCGCGGGAGAUCAGGACUGUUACUUUGAAAAAAUUAGAGUGUUUAAAGCAGGCUCGCGCUUGAAUACAUUAGCAUGGAAUAAUGAAAUAGGACGUUUGAUUCUAUUUUGUUGGUUUCUAGGAUCGACGUAAUGAUUAAUAGGGAUAGUUGGGGGCAUUAGUAUUCAAUUGUCAGAGGUGAAAUUCUUGGAUUUAUUGAAGACUAACUACUGCGAAAGCAUUUGCCAAGGAUGUUUUCAUUAAUCAAGAACGAAAGUUAGGGGAUCGAAGACGAUCAGAUACCGUCGUAGUCUUAACCAUAAACUAUGCCGACUAGGGAUCGGAUGAUGUUAAUUUUUUAAUGACUCAUUCGGCGCCUUACGGGAAACCAAAGUGUUUGGGUUC